rnacentral:tRNA from 1 species
GCGGAUAUGGCGGAACUGGCAGACGCGCCAGACUUAGGAUCUGGUGUCUUUGACGUGCAGGUUCGACUCCUGUUAUCCGCACCA